GACAGAGGGGGCAAGCGUUGUCCGGAGUUACUGGGCGUAAAGGGCGCGUAGGCGGCCUUCUAAGUCGAACGUGAAAUCCCUGGGCUCAACCCAGGAACUGCGUCCGAUACUGGGAGGCUUGAAUCCGGGAGAGGGAUGCGGAAUUCCAGGUGUAGCGGUGAAAUGCGUAGAUAUCUGGAGGAACACCGGUGGCGAAGGCGGCAUCCUGGACCGGCAUUGACGCUGAGGCGCGAAAGCCAGGGGAGCAAACGGG
rnacentral:rRNA from 1 species